UAUUGAGUGAUGUGGGAAAAAUAUUUUGUUCGUUGCGGUAUUCCAAUUUGUGCUCAUUGGAUUCUGCAAUCAGUUAGUGAAGUGUUCUAACAAGUGAAGUGUUCUCCUCAAUUAUUUUGUGUAGACUUUAAUUGUGCGCUUUUUCAAGAAGGUUCCUUCAGAAUAACGGCUGACGUGUAUCAAAUAAGCAUGUUGAAGGUGAUGAAUCUGUUAUUGCUUACGUUAUCGAUGAAUAUACUCAUGUGUAUUCCAUCAAAUGCG